UACAGAGGGUGCGAGCGUUGUCCGGAAUCACUGGGCGUAAAGGGCGCGUAGGUGGUGACCUAAGCGUGCGGUGAAAGCCCGAGGCUCAACCUCGGGUCGGCCGUGCGAGCUGGGUCACUGGAGCAGAAUAGAGGCAGGUGGAAUUCCGGGUGUAGCGGUGGAAUGCGUAGAGAUCCGGAAGAACACCGGUGGCGAAGGCGGCCUGCUGGGUUCUGGCUGACACUGAGGCGCGACAGCGUGGGGAGCAAACAGG
rnacentral:rRNA from 1 species